AUUGAACGCUGGCGGCAGGCUUAACACAUGCAAGUCGAACGAGUGGCGGACGGGUGAGUAAUGCUUGGGAAUCUGGCCUAUGGAGGGGGAUAACGACUGGAAACUGUCGCUAAUACCGCGUACUAUCGGAUGAGCCCAUUUGGGAUUAGGUAGUUGGUGGGUUAAUGGCCGACCAAGCCGACGAUCUCUAGCUGGUCUGAGAGGAUGACCGGCCACACUGGGACUGAGACACGGCCCGGACUCCUACGGGAGGCAGCAGUGGGGAAUAUUGCGCAAUGGGGGCAACCCUGACGCAGCCAUGCCGCGUGAAUGAAGAAGGCCUUCGGGUUGUAAAGUUCUUUCAGUGACGAGGCGUUAAUCACAGAAGAAGCACCGGCUAACUCCGUGCCAGCAGCCGCGGUAAUUC
rnacentral:rRNA from 1 species